rnacentral:rRNA from 1 species
UACGUAGGGUGCGAGCGUUAAUCGGAAUUACUGGGCGUAAAGCGUGCGCAGGCGGUUCGUUGUGUCUGCUGUGAAAUCCCCGGGCUCAACCUGGGAAUGGCAGUGGAAACUGGCGGGCUUGAGUGCGGCAGAGGGGGGUGGAAUUCCGCGUGUAGCAGUGAAAUGCGUAGAGAUGCGGAGGAACACCGAUGGCGAAGGCAGCCCCCUGGGCCGACACUGACGCUCAGGCACGAAAGCGUGGGGAGCAAACAGG